rnacentral:misc_RNA from 1 species
UUUUCUACAUCGCGCAUGGCAUCUUUUACAGCCAUAAUUUUUUGAAUAGUAUUAGAAGGUGGCUGAUCACGAAUGGUUACUUUUCCAAAAGAUCGACCAAGACGACCUUGCUCCUUGAGUCCUUUCAAUGUCAGCAUUCCAGCGGCCACCAUUAGUAAUAUCGUAGGAAAUACAAAUGAUAGCAAGUUUCUGAAGAUAAUUGUAUAUGCAACUGCAAGAAAG